CAACAGCGGGGUCCGUUGCCAGGUGUGCGUCGCGUCAAUUACCACAACAGGGUAGAGAAGAAAAAAAAAAAGGAAUAAAUGCUUGCCUUGGGCACUCUGUACCGGCAACAGUUUUUGGCGCCCAAAGUGGGCUCAAGGUUGCUAUUUAGCCUUGCCCGGACCCCUCCCGGCAGUCGAUGGAUUGCAGCGACAACCGAUGCCCAGCGUGCACUGGUGAAUUCAUCGGGAGGCCUCGGAGGAGACGCGAUUUGAUCGACCCCAGAGGGCACAACGGUGCAACGUGCUCAAUAGUGGAGAAGCGACUGCAGUCGACAGUGUGGAACCGGUCCCUUGGAUAAGGUAUACCAAAGACUCACCGCCUCUUCCGUUGAAUGCUCCUGUCCACUCCUUGCAGCCAGGCAACUCCGUGCUUGUUCGUUCCUGGAAAGACGAGCCUCUCCAAGAAAAGU